AUUGAACGCUGGCGGCAUGCCUUACACAUGCAAGUCGAACGGCGGCACGGGGGCAACCCUGGUGGCGAGUGGCGAACGGGUGAGUAAUGCAUCGGAACGUGCCCAGUAGUGGGGGAUAAGCAGUCGAAAGCCUGGCUAAUACCGCAUACGACCUAAGGGUGAAAGCGGGGGACCGUAAGGCCUCGCGCUAUUGGAGCGGCCGAUGUCUGAUUAGCUAGUUGGCGGGGUAAGAGCCCACCAAGGCGACGAUCAGUAGCUGGUCGGAGAGGACGACCAGCCACACUGGGACUGAGACACGGCCCAGACUCCUACGGGAGGCAGCAGUGGGGAAUUUUGGACAAUGGGCGCAAGCCUGAUCCAGCCAUGCCGCGUGCGGGAAGAAGGCCUUCGGGUUGUAAACCGCUUUUGGCAGGAACGAAACGGCGCAGGCCAAUACCUUGCGCUAAUGACGGUACCUGCAGAAUAAGCACCGGCUAACUACGUGCCAGCCGCCGCAGUAAGAC
rnacentral:rRNA from 1 species